rnacentral:piRNA from 1 species
UCCUUGAAGAGAACCACGACUGUGGGUCCGG